UCUUUCCCUCUGUCCUUGUUGGUUCAUUGUAUGUCGAUGUGUGUGUUGUCCUUGUUGACGGCGCAUCCCCAGUGAGUCUCCAUGUGAUUUUAUCCACAGUGUCUUUAGUUGGAUUUUGCCUUUGAGAUUUUUUGGUUGGACAUCGUAAAGUAGGUUUUUGUUGCUUCUUAUUUUGCUCUUUCAAAUUAAAUCUUUUUUUUUUUUGUCUGUAUUUGGAUCCUUUCCUUUUUAUCUAACCCUGGCUCAUGACACUGUACAUAGAACUCAAUGUGAAUACUGUCAUCCACUUCAAAACCAGGACCUUUAAUGUGCAGUAACUUCUUAUUGUUGGGUUUAUGCCUUUUAGGAACUUUUAAAAACGAAAUAUUCUGAAACCUUCACCUUCUUAUACGAAAAGCCUGAAAUGUUUUCAAAGUUUGUCGUUUCAACUUUUAGAAAUUUACCUUUAAAAACUCCUUUAAAAUUGUUCAGAUUUUAAUUUAAAGUUUCUAGAUCAGGUGUCAAAGAUUCAAAGUCAGGCUGAACACCAGAAGAAUGUUUUUAUGCUGAUGAAUAGAAGUACUUCAUGUUCAAUUAAAAUAAAGAAUAAAGUGUUUUAUUAGAGCCUGAAGUGAAGGUUACGCUGUGAAAGGAGAUGUCAACUCUGAGUGUGGAACAGGCAGGUUUACCGUUAGCAUGCUGUGUGACCACCAGCCCUUACUUCCUUCCUCUCUGCUGGCCUGGUACAGGGGUGUGUGUGUGUGUGUGUGUGUCCUGUUCUCCCAUAGCUUGUGCAUUUGUGUGUGUGUGUGUGUGUGUGUGUGUGUGUGUGUGUGUGUGUGUGUGUGUGUGUGUGUGUGUGUGCAUGUUUUUAGGUCACACUUGAGCAUACACAGGAGGUCAGGUGAGUUUGGGUCUGGUUCCUGAUUCCUGGAAGAGUGGACAGCUGCAGAGUCUCACAUAAAUGACAUGACAAGAGACGCGCACACGCACACACAUACACACACACACACAGUUAGACACCAGCCGAGCUCAGACAUUCAUCUUUGUCUGAGUUCCUCUGGUUGUUUCUGUUUCUAUUCUGCGAGGUUGGUACUUUAAGCAGGAAUGAAUAUUGAACCAAUCAUAAUGUGCUGAUUACACUAAAGCUCCUGGGAUUGGUAAAUUUCAAAUACGGGGUCACACUUGUUGUCAGAUUUGACAUUUUCUGCACUUAUGUUUUGAUUGUAAAACUUCAGAUUAAAUAAAAUAUUCAAAAUGUCACUUUUACAUCUCAGAUUGGAAUUAAAAUCAGGCUUAUUGAAGGAAACCAGUCUAGAUUCCUUAAAGGAUGGUGUUGGAUAAAGUCUCAUGCACCUCUGUUGAAGACUUUCCUGGCACUUCUCCACAUAUAUGUGCUGACUGAGAGCAAAAUGGAACAUGUUCCAGUGUCUGACCACCUUUCUAAAUCUAAUCAUGUCUUAUCGGCCCACCUCGCUCUCCUGUACACAGACUUAUCUGAGGGGCCAUUAAAGCAGCUUCCCCGUGUAGUCCUCCUAUCUUCAGACGGUGAUAAGAUACCUGAGAGGGGGGCAGACCACAGCAGGGUCCAGCCAGGGUCUCCCACAAGGCCAUAAACAGGUUGUCUGCAUAGUCUCAGAGACAUGGCUCUGCUGUGAUGCAGUGGAGGAGCCGCGGUCUCCUGCUCUCUUACCUCUGUGUAAAUACACCGCUCUUUGUUUAUACAGCGCGGUGUGGCUUCAGGUUCCAGGGACCAUCACUCUGGGUCUGGGUCAGAUCGCCAGAAACACACACACACACACAUACACACAAGCAGUACUUUGCACAUGUGGCUAAACACGCACACACAUAUUCAUCCUAAUGCAAACCAGACUCCCCCUCUCCCUCUUUUCUUCUUGGAGAGAGAGAGAGGGAGAGGGAGCGGUAGUAGGGAGACCGCACAGCGUUGGAUCGGGGCCAAAUGGACCAGCGGAGCUUGUUUGGAAAGCUUUCAGUCAGAAAGCCACUUUUUGGCAGGGGCCCUGUGAGUGCUGCUGAGCCCUCUGAAGCGGGCUGGAGCUGCUAAAAUAAAUAAUGGUUAGGGCCGAGGGGGUAAGAGUGGUGUUGGAGGGUGGGGGGUAGAAGGGUAGAGGGGUAGCAGGAGGAAAAAGGAGGGUUGGGGAACUGGUGGAGGAGGAAGGAGAGAGACGGGAGGGUGGGGGAAAGAGGGGUGAGGUUUUAGAGACCGCUCCUGUAAUUAUAUCUGUCAGUCGACACCAAGGCACUUGGACCGCCAACGCUCACGUUUCCCCCUCGCUCUCUCGCUGUCACCAGAAAGAGAGAGAGAGCGAGGGGAAGAGAGCGAAUGUACUUUGUGUGUCUGAAUUCGUCCGACUGCAUACACACUUUUUAUGUGUGCAUCAGCAUGUGUCUGUGAACAGUCUUGUGAGCUCCCUGGGUGGUGUGUUAGUGUGUGUGUGAGUGUGUGUUCGCCAGUGGGCCUGCAGGGAAACAAACCUGGUCAUUCUGGGAGAGGGAGAUAAGGAGGUGUUUCACACGAGAGUAUGUUGGUCUUUCAGCGGGGAGCAGAGUAGUGGCCCCUCUGUACACCGGCUCACCAGAAAAUAGACCAGAACAGCUUUUCACACAUAUGCUGAGUGGGACAUAUGCACAAAGUGUUGAGGAAGGUGUGCAACUAAAAUGGAUCUAUUAUUCUUUAUUGAAAAACGUGAUGAUGGAUUUUAUGGAGCAGCCUAUCACUGCAUCUAGUGUGUUUAUGUCUAAUCUGAUCUAUUUGACUUGAGAGGCUGAUUAUUUCUGAGGCUUUUCCACGCCCUGUUGAGACGACAGGACAGUGGAUAGAGUGAGAAACCGGGGUAAGAUGGCGAGGAUUGACAUACCUCAAAGUGCCAUGACUCAGAUUUGAACUCUGCCCCUUUUAGGACUAUGGCCUCUGUACAUGUGUGUUCUAGUUUGACCGUGGAGCCAUCUGAGAGUGCAAAGUUAGACAACUUAAAGGGAUAUUCCUGCGUAAAAUUGAAAUUAUGGACAAACACACCAUAACAUCGAGUUAGACACCCCCUUGAGAGAUGAAUGUUGCUGACUGCUUGCUUCUCUAGUUAUACCAACUAUAGCAAUGGUCGCACGACAGCGAUACACAGCGGUCUACGUCUCCACAUGCAAACCUCAACCAAAGAGCCACUCUAUAGCCACAAAUAAUGCUCAAAACAGCACCUAACUUCAUCAACAGUACAUAUAGGGUCCCAGCCAUAGUACUAGCCACCAAACAUCUUUUUAGCUUUGCCUGAUUCUUUAGCAAAGAGACUCAGUCUGAUUGCAUUUCCAUGAAGUAAUAAUCAUAAAUGUUCUUCCUUGAGCUGCGAAACUCCGCUGCACUAAGAGUUAAUCUCUUUACAUUCAAAUCAAACAGAAGUCGACGUCAACGUUAACAUUAAAAACCUGCUGAAAGUCUGACAACCUGUAGGAUGAUAGUAAGGAAACAGUCCAGUAAUAGACUUUCUCAUAACACGCUACAUCCAUAAAGACCCACGGACUGAUUCAGAUCUACAACGGCAGUAUGCUAAUGCUUAUGUUGUCCACGAUCCAUCUUACCAUGCAAGAGCUCUUUCUUAGGUGAACAUCAUAGACACUAGUGGAGUGAUCCAGAUCCUUUGGCUCAACAACUAGAGGCCUUUUUAGUCCCCAAACAGCUCUACAUAGUGUCAUCCAUGAGUUGUAUCAUGUACUGUAUAGUAGGCUGACUUUUACAGCUGAGUGGGGACCGACACAGACUCCCCACUUCAGUGCAGAUGUCUGCUCCCACGCUGUUGCAUUCAGGUAAUAAAACCAGGUAAUAUGAAAAUGACGUCAUUGAACUAAAGCUGGAUUUAAUGGAUGUUAAAGCGUUUGAUAGUCAUAGUUUCAUUAAAAACAAGUGACACCAAAGAUUAACAGAGUUCUGUUUCUGUGUUUGACGGUUACUUUACUGAUGUACUCGUACACACAGCUUUACAUGAUCUCAGUAAGAAAUGAGAUAAUAAAAGGCACACACGCAUCGAUUCAAUGCUAAUUACGCCAACCUACAUAUGUGUCCUUGCACAUGUAAGAUUCUCACAUCUCUCUCUAUCUGUCUAAUUCUUUCUCUUUCUUCUCUAGCUUUGUAGUGAUCCGCUCAGCUCUCUGAUCUCUGCUGGGAUCAGGUCCAAAGAUCUCACCCCAGAGACACAAUUACCACACUGGGCUAAAUGUGCCGCCCACAAGCUACAGUGCCCAUCAAAGGCCCUCCGAACUCUGCAACCCUUUUUCCUUUAGGUUUUACAUUAAAAGUAUGUUUUCGGUCACAUGUACACUGUACAGUUUUUCUUCUUCUAUGGUCUUUCAGAUGACCUCGAAUGUGGGAUCAGGAUUCUGAAAACAGGGCAAAGAGGACACGAUGGGUGCUGUUUAUGACUCAAUCAGUGUGUUUACAUGCGCAGCUUAUUUGGACUAAGCUCAUAAUUUGUUUUUUUUUCCGCAGAAUCCGACUUCUCUCCUUGUCCACGUAUUGCUGCAGCUGAGAAAAUCUAAUUAUUGAUGUGAAUGUGUCCUCCUCUCCAAAACUAGGGGGCAAUAUGGGUCUUUUCAGCUGUGCUGUUUCCAGAACUUUUUUAAAGAUGCUCCUUUCCUCGUUUUGUGACCGUCCAUAUACUUUAAAAUGCCCAUUUCUGUCAGGACAGAAAGCAUAACAGCACUCUCCUCGUCGUUCCAAAAGUGGACAUUCUUUCGUGCUUCAACCAUGAGUCAGAAGUUCUUUAAAUGAUAGUGCCACCUCCUCUCUGGUGUUUUUGUUCCAGGGUUACGUAGGCAUUGCGCACGCGCAAAUGCAUUGUCCAAUCAUACUCUGACUGCAUUGGUUACAUGGUAGAGAUCUAUCUGGGUGUCUUAAUCGGAGUUCUCAAACUCUGAUUAUAGUCAGACUAAGGUAUUUACGUGCACUUUAGUUGUCCAGUCUUAAUCAGACUAACCAGCAAUUUUUACCACAUCCGGAACGGCUACGAAAAGGCCAUAUCGACCGAUCGUUGCUGAUCAUAACCAUUCAAGUUAAUGUGUCAAUUUCCAUCGGCUUCUUUCCGUUCCGCUGCGGAUGGCCAGACUCCACAGCUGAUCGCAAGAGUUCUAUUUUUCCGGACGCCGGAACAUGUCAGAUAAAUUCAGCACAGAUUAACCCAUGCUGGAGAGGAAGUCGGGCACAGACACAAAAUAAAACAUCUGACUUCUUUUCAAAAUAAAACACUCCGUGUUUCAGGGGGAUCUUAUUUCACACCAUGCAAACAGGUGGGGAUGAACAAGUGAAAGGUUGUGAAAGUGAAACAUUUCACCCUGAUGACACCAAGGGUGAGGAGAUGCUGAUUCUAAAAGUCCAGAAGUGGAUUUCCUCCUCUG
rnacentral:lncRNA from 1 species